CGAGGAAAGUGAUGUGUUUUAUUUGUGAACAUUUCUCGGUUACUUAGCUCCCGUCAGGAAAUUUUGCCAGCCCAGUUUUCAGCUGAUCUUUUUUGUUUGCCCCCAGCAUCUGACAUCCCCCCCCCCGUGUAAAUCCCCCAAACUGACCUCAGCAGAGCAUAAGCGACGAAGGAGAGCGAAGCCUCGAGCAACAUCAAUCUGGAGGGAUCAAAACUCUGCUGGAGGAACUCAGGAAGAAGGAGCCUCAGGAGUCAUGUCACCAAUUACCCCUCAACCAUCAGGCUCUUGAACCAGAGGGGAUAACUUCACUGAACCGUUCCCACAACCUAUGGACUCACUUUCAAGGACUCUUAAUCUCAUGUACUCAAAGUUUAUUCCUUAUUUAUUUAUUUCUUAUUAAUAAUAUUUCUUUUUCAUCAAGGACUGCUCCCAACGUUUCCUCAAAUCUCUUUUUACAGCUGUCCAGACCAGCCAUUACUCUGAGCAGGAAAUUUUCUUAUACACCCUGAAAACUAUUAACAUUAUAUAAAAGAAAAUUCCAGCUGCGUGGCAACGAAGGUGAUAUGCACGGGAGCGUUUCGGUCACUGCGCGGCUGCAAACAUGCGCAGUUUAGAGAGUAUCAUGAACCCCUCCACCCAUCCAGGCCACGCUCUUUUCUCACUGCUGCCAGGAAUAAUGGUGCAUAGUUCCCUGAAGGUGGAAUCUCAUGUGGAUGGGGUGGUGAAGAAAGCUUUUGGUAUGCUGUCCUUUAUAAAUCAGAGCAUUGAGUAUAGGAGUUGGGAUGUAAUGUUAAAAUUGUACUAGGCAUUGGUAAGGCCGAAUUUGGAGUAUUGUGUGCAGUUCUGGUCACUGAAUUACAGAAAAGAUGUCAACAAAAUAGAGAGAGUACAGAGGAGAUUUACUAGAAUGUUACCUGGGUUUCAGCACCUAAGUUGCAGAGGAAGGUUGAGCAAGUUAGGUCUUUAUUCUUUGGAAUGUAGAGGGUUGAGGGGGGAACUUGAGAGAGGUAUUUAAAAUUAUGAGGGGGAUACAGCUUUUCCAUUGAGAGUAGGGGAGAUUCAAACAAGAGGACAUGAGUUGAGAGGGGGCAAUAUUUUAGGGGUAACACGAGAGGGAAUUUCUUUACUCAGAGAGUGGUAGCUGUGUGGAACGAGCUUCCAGUUGAAGUGGUAGAGGCAGGUUCGAUAUUGUCAUUUAAAGUAAAAUUGGAUAGGUAUAUGGACAGGAAAGGAAUGGAGGGUUAUGGGCUGAGGGCAGGUCGGUGGGACUAGGUGAGAGUAAGCGUUCGGCACGGACUAGAAGGGCCGACAUGGCCUGUUUCUGUGCUGUAAUUGUUAUAUGGUUAUAUGAAGAAGGAGAUACAGGAACCUCAGGCCCCACACCACCAAGUUCAGGAACAGUUAUUACCCUUCAACCAUCAGGCUCCUGAACCAGUGAGGAUAGCUUCACUCACCUCAACUCUGAACUGACUCCACAACCUACCGACUCACUUUCAAGGAUUCUACAGUUCCCGUUCUCGGUAUUAGUCAUUAAUUAUUAUUAUUAGUUUUUUUUGUGUUUGGUCUUCUUUGCGCAUUAAUUGUCAGACUUUGUUUGGGCGUAGUUUUUCACUGAUUCUAUCGUGCUUCUUUGUUUUAGUGUGAAUGCCCGCAAGAAAGUGUUCUGUGUGUUGGAGCUUGAGGUGUCGUUGCCAACUUGGACUGACUGGAGUCAUUCCAUCAAGAAGGCCAAGUUCCAGUUACAGUGCAUAAGCUACUUUUUCAUAUAUAUAUAUAUUUAUAAUGUUUUUUUAAAAAAUUAUGUUCUUUGUGCUUACUUUGUUCUUUUUAAUGCUGCAUUGGAUCUGGAAUAAUAAUCCUUUCAUUCUCCUUUCCACUUGCAUACUGACAAAUUACAAUAAACAACCUUGUGUCUUGAAUAAACAGCAUAGGAGCAGAAUUAGGCCAUUCAGCCCAUUGAGUCUGCUCCACCACUCCAUACUGGCCGACUCAUUAUCCCCCUCAGCCUCAUUCUCCCACCUCCUCCCCGUAACCUUUUACGCCCUAGUUAAUCAAGAACUGAUCAAUCUCUGCUUUAAAUAUCCCCAAUGGCUUGGCCUCCACAGCUGUCCGUGGCAACAAAUUCCACAGAUUCACCUCCCUCCGGCUAAAGAAAAUCCUUCUCGUCUCUGUUACAAAUGGACGUCCCUAGGUUCUGAAGAUGUGCCCUCUGGUCCUAGACUCGCCCGCUGUAGGAUACACAUCCGCUCUAUCUAGGCCUUUCAACUUUUGAUAAGUUUCAAUGAGAUCCCCACCCCCCCAUUCUUCUAAACUCCGGCGAAUACAGACCCAGAGUCAUCAAAUGCAACUCCUAUGUUAACUCUUUCAUUCCCGGACUCACUCGGAGCGGCAGAGCUCAGGAUGUUGGUGCCUAACGGCGACUCCUUUGCCUGCAUCGUUGGAAGCUGCUCCACUUCUGUCUUUGCUAUCUCCUUUUUUCCCCUUUCAAGGUACUUUUGAAGACCCUGACCUGGAGUUGCACGCUGACUUGGGCUCUUUGCGGGAAUGGGGCCCGCUCUCGGGGCCUCGCCACCGGCUGCUUUUCGAUAGGCCAAGCACGCGGACUGGAAGCUUUCAGGGCGCCAGAUUUUUAGCGGCUCGGGAGGAGGGCGGAUCCAACCGCUGUGUCAUGGGAGACGGAAGAUCGGAAGCAGCGAGGUGGCUGCUGGUUAUGGCUCAGAGACCCGAGUUCUUUGGGCACGGGGCAAUGUAACAUACUUUUAACACCAUAAAUCAGCGAGUGGUUUGUUAUGCCUCCCCCCUUGCUGUAAAACGGGGGCACCUCUUUUUCCCUCAUUCAGGAGAGAGAGGGAGCCUGUGGUAUGUCGAAUACCGGGUGAACGAGUAGUCUUUGGGGUUCUGCAAGUCUGUGACUUUAUUGAUGCUUU